rnacentral:rRNA from 1 species
CUCCAGACUCCUACGGGAGGCAGCAGUGGGGAAUAUUGCACAAUGGGGGGAACCCUGAUGCAGCGACGCCGCGUGGGUGAAGGAGCGUUUCGGCGCGUAAAGCCCUAUCGGCAGGGAAGAAGCAAGACGGUACCUGACUAAGAAGCCCCGGCUAACUACGUGCCAGCAGCCGCGGUAAUACGUAGGGGGCGAGCGUUAUCCGGAUUCACUGGGUGUAAAGGGAGCGUAGACGGCCAUGCAAGCCAGGGGUGAAAGCCCGGGGCCCAACCCCGGGACUGCUCUUGGAACUGCGUGGCUGGAGUGCAGGAGGGGCAGGCGGAAUUCCUGGUGUAGCGGUGAAAUGCGUAGAUAUCAGGAGGAACACCGGUGGCGAAGGCGGCCUGCUGGACUGCAACUGACGUUGAGGCCCGAAAGCGUGGGGAGCAAACAGGAUUAGAUACCCCCGUAUA